UACGGGGGGGCAAGCGUUGUUCGGAAUUACUGGGCGUAAAGGGCUCGUAGGCGGCCAACUAAGUCGGACGUGCAAGCCCUCGGCUUAACCGAGGAACUGCGUCCGAUACUGGAUGGCUUGAGGUUGGGAGAGGGAUGCGGAAUUCCAGGUGUAGCGGUGAAAUGCGUAGAUAUCUGGAGGAACACCGGUGGCGAAGGCGGCAUCCUGGACCAAUUCUGACGCUGAGUGAGCGAAAGCCAGGGGAGCAAACGGG
rnacentral:rRNA from 1 species